AAGAACUAUUAUAAUACAACUUAUAAUACAACUUCUUCUCAUAAAUCUGUUGAAGUGUGCAAACCAUGAACAUCUUACCGAUUUCAUAACCAUCUCAAUGCAGACUGUUUUUACGUCAUUUCCACAAUGCCACCUCAUCUUUGCUGGAGGACUCUUAUGAAUACCCUGAUUUACAGUGCAUUAAAUCUGAGAUUGAUCAGCUUUGGCUCUGAUGUCAUUUGAGUCAGGAACUUUCAAUCUUUUAAUUGCAGAGCAAAACUGCUUGGACGUUGCCCAAGCUUAAGCAGACUUCAGGGUGGUGGAUUUGAUCCAGGCUAAGAUUAAUAUGCUACCCAGACCUAAGAAGAAUAAGAAGCCAGAGCCUCAGACUAAUGCCAGCUUCAACCCCUGGCUCUACAAAAGAAAAGCAGGGCACCGUUCCCACUUCUACAGCCUCCUAAAACUCAGCAGUCAAGAAAGCAAUGAAGAAAGACAGUGUUAUCGUGUACAGCACUCAGAUCACUACUGGCAAGCUCAACAAAUUGGACAUCCUUUUUUUGCCAAGAACGGUAAGCAGGACACCAUUCAUAGGUAUUUGCACAGAGAAAUGUGAGCUAGGUGGGUGUGAGCAGUGGGCCUUAUGAACUAAUAAGAAAAGUGUUUUCAUGCAAAAACAGCGUGCACAUAAAUUUCUUACUCACAUUCUACUGUUUAUAAAUCUGAAUUAUUCUACAUAGCGAUGUCUCCAUAUAUGGGCUGUACACACAAUUAGGAUACAUUCUUUCUGCAAAAAUGUAUCCUCACACUACAGGGAAUAGUGUAAAUACAGGGAAAUACAAGUAAUACCUUUUAUAUAGACCAAAAGUACACACAAGUAGAUGAGCAAAUGUAUUUUCACUUGGAUAUGAUAUCCAUUUUCUUGCUAUUUGACGUGGCAAAAUCAUCUGACCACCAGUGAGCUGAUGGAUAGGAAAGCAAGGAGGAGGCAGCAUUUCAGUUUUGAGGUGGGCUUUGAUGACUUCAAGAUGCUACUCAAGCAAAACAUUCAGAAGUCAUCCAUGGAGUUUGAGCUGACUGACUGAACAGUAAAGACCUUGUCUUGUUUGAGAUCAAAAUGUAGAAAUAUCAUUGCUUGCUCAGGCAAAUGCUAUUAUUAUUAUUGCUCAUUUUUGGGUUAAGGAUUUGCACAGACCCCACAGAACAAAAGUAAGAAACUUAAUAAACUAGUUGGCAUGUCCUCUUACUUUUUGGUA
ensembl:lncRNA